ACGAGCCGGAUAAGCCGAGAGGCUUACGUCCGGAUCUGUGGGGGCGGGCGGGUGAGACUCCCGCCCGCUACCCGGC
rnacentral:ncRNA from 1 species